rnacentral:rRNA from 1 species
AUGAUGUGGUUUAAUUCGAUGCAACGCGAAAACCUUACCCACCUUUGACAUGGCAGGAAUCCCGAAGAGAUUGGGAGUGCUCGAAAGAGAACCUGCACACAGGUGCUGCAUGGCUGUCGUCAGCUCGUGUCGUGAGAUGUUGGGUUAAGUCCCGCAACGAGCGCAACCCUUGCCAUUAGUUGCUACGAAAGGGCACUCUAAUGGGACUGCCGGUGACAAACCGGAGGAAGGUGGGGAUGACGUCAAGUCCUCAUGGCCCUUAUAGGUGGGGCUACACACGUCAUACAAUGGCCGGUACAGAGGGUAGCCAACCCGCGAGGGGGAGCCAAUCCCACAAAGCCGGUCGUAGUCCGGAUCGCAGUCUGCAACUCGACUGCGUGAAGUCGGAAUCGCUAGUAAUCGCGGAUCAGCAUGUCGCGGUGAGUACGUUCCCGGGUCUU